ACAGGCCUGCUCAGGAGGCCCUCAGAAGUGCCAGUUAUCUAUUUGAGGUAACUUCAUAAUUCCAUCUUCCCAAAACUUUUUUAUCUUUUUGAGCAAAGAACUGUUCCAGGUGCCUUUUACAGUCUUCCAGGGAAUCAAAAUUUUUUCCAUUAGGAGAAUUUUCUGAAGACCGAAAUAAAUGGAAAUCCGUAGGUGCAAUGUCUAGUGACUAUGGCGGAUGCAUCAGGACUUCCCAGCCAAGCUGUAACAGUUUUUGCCUGGUCAUCAAAGAAACAUGCGGCCUUGCAUUAUCCUGAUGGAAGAUUAUGGGUUUUCUGUUGACUAAUUCCGGACGCUUUUCGUAGAGUGCUGCUUUCGGUUGGUGUAAUUGGGAGCAGUACUUGUUGGAUUGAGUCGUUUAGUUUUGCGGAAGGAGCUCAUAGUAGAGGACUCCCUUCCAAUCCCACCAUAUACAGAACAUCACCUUCUUUGGAUGAAGACCGGCCUUUGGUGUGGUUGGUGGUGGUUCAUUUCGCUUGCCCCACGAUCUCUUCCGUUCUACAUUAUUGCACAGUAUCCACUUUUCAUCGCCCAUCACAAUUUGUUUUAAAAACGGAACGUUUUCGUUACGUUAUCGCAUGCGGCAAGAUGGUCAAGAAGGUUUUUUCCGCUUAAUUUAUGUGGAACCCAAACAUCAAAGCGAUGAACAUAACCAAGCUGGUGCAGAUGAUUUUCAGCGCUUGAUUUGGAUAUUUUGAGUAUGUCAGCCGUCUCCCGCGUGGUAUAAUGUUGAUUGUUCUGUGUUUCGAUUUGAUCGCUGUCAACUUCAACUGGUCUACCCGACCAUGGAGCAUCGUCCAGCGAGAAAUCUCCAGCACGAAACUUCACAGACCACUUUUGACACGUUCCAUCAAUCAUGGCACCUUCUCCAUACACUGCACAAAUCUUGUUUUUUGAGUUUCAGUUGCGUUUUUACCUUUCUUGAAAUAAUAAAGCAUAAUAUGCCGAAAAUGUUGCUUUUUUCCCUUCCAUCUUCAGUAUUAAAAUCGCUACACAAAAA